rnacentral:tRNA from 1 species
GUCACGAUAGCUCAAGUGGUAGAGCAACGGCAUAACAAGCCGAAGAUCGUGGGUUCGAAUCCCGCUCGUGACA